AUUGAACGCUGGCGGCAUGCUUUACACAUGCAAGUCGAACGGUAACAGGCCGCAAGGUGCUGACGAGGGCGAACGGGUGAGUAAUGCAUCGGAACGUGCCCAGUCGUGGGGGAUAACUGCUCGAAAGAGCAGCUAAUACCGCAUACGAUCUAUGGAUGAAAGCGGGGGACCGUAAGGCCUCGCGCGAUUGGAGCGGCCGAUGUCAGAUUAGGUAGUUGGUGGGGUAAAGGCGCACCAAGCCAACGAUCUGUAGCUGGUCUGAGAGGACGACCAGCCACACUGGGACUGAGACACGGCCCAGACUCCUACGGGAGGCAGCAGUGGGGAAUUUUGGACAAUGGGGGCAACCCUGAUCCAGCAAUGCCGCGUGCAGGAAGAAGGCCUUCGGGUUGUAAACUGCUUUUGUACGGAACGAAACGGUCUGGGUUAAUACCCUGGGCUAAUGACGGUACCGUAAGAAUAAGCACCGGCUAACUACGUGCCAGCCGCCGCGGUAAGAC
rnacentral:rRNA from 1 species